GGAAACAUUAGCUCUCUUGACUGAAUAGUCACCUAGGAAUGCCAAAUUCAGCUCACCAAUUUGAUGCAUGUAUCUCCAGGUUCAUUGAAUCUAUUGUGCAUGCACCAAGCUUAAAUGCUCCAUCCACAUUCGGCCAACCUACAUAAAACAUGAAUGAGCUCAAAUUGAUGUAAUAUUGGCUGAACAUAAUUAAAAUAAAACUUUGACAAGUUAAACACAUUAAUUCGGCACUAAAAAUCUGCACAUAUAAUUUAGUUUGGACAAAACACAUUAAAACAUGUAAUAAAAUUUGACUCAUUAAAAAUGCAUAAAACAUAUUAAUAAGCUGUAAAAAUUAAGACAAACUAAUGACAUGUAAAAAUAACUCAAUUAAGAUGCAAAAUUAAAUUUCUCCAGAUUUUAAAUUAUGCAAACAACUAAAAUUAAUUGAGCUGUAAUAAACUAAUUAAAUUGACUCAAAAUAAUUAUUCAGCUACUAAAUUAAUGUCCAAUUGAUAUUGAGCUGAAUCGUAAGUAUUUGAGCUGAAAUUGAGCUGAUUCGAGCUCAUUGAGCUUGAAAGGAGCUGGAAACGAGCUAAAUGAAGCUCCACAAAAUAAGAUUGAGCUACGUCCAGCUUGCAAACACGACGAGCCUCGCUUGUAGGCUGAAACAAUAGCCGUUCCCGGGGGCGGGUCGUAUCAGUCUCCACCCCGUAGGAACUACGAGAUCACCCCAAGGACGCCUUCGGUAUCCAGGGGUCGCGGACCGACCAUAGAACCCUGUUCAAUAAGUGGAAUGCAUUAGCUGUCCGCUCUCAGGUUGGGCAGUAAGGGUCGGAGAAGGGCAAUCACUCAUUCUUAAAACCAGCAUUCUUAAGACCAAAGAGUCGGAGGGGGGAAGGUGAGUUCGAUUUAACUAGGUUUCCUGACUCUUUCGAAUUGUUUUCGGUUUUUAUUUUAAUUUUUCAUAUUAAAUUUAGGUUUUGAGUUUUUAGAUUUAUUUUGAUAAAAUAAACAUUAUUUUUAUGAGGGUUAAACAUUGUUCAAUAAAGUUUAAAAAAUUAUUUUAAUAAAUGUUUUCAAAAAAUUAAAAUUUCAAGUAAAUAAAAAAAUUAAUAACUUUUAUAUAAUAUAUUUUUAAAAUAAUAAAUUUUAUAUAAAAACUUUAAAUUAUUUUUCAAUAUUUUAAAUAUAAAAUAUUUACAUUUACAUCAUAAAAAAGUAAAAUUAAAAAAAAUGAAAUUCAAUUUGAUUUAAAUGAAUAUAACUUUCUAAUUUGUAUUCUAUAAAUGGUAGAAAUACCGUGAUUAGAACAAUUUUUUGAUUUAUCGAUUUUUUUCAAUCCUAAUUUUUUAUAUCAUUCUAUUUUUAUUUUACAAUUUAUGUUUAGAAAUCAUGAUUGUUUUUUUUUUCAAAUAGAAUAUAUUUUAUUAUUGCACUCAAUAUUUAUUAAUUUUUUUGACACAAUAUUUAGAACUAUUCAUAGCUAGACUUGUUUAUGGGUCAGGUUACACGCCCAGGUCUGAAGGUCCGCACAGAAUUUGGGAGGGUUUGGGCAAAAAUAUUAGGCUCGAAAAAUGGGCAUGGACAAAAAAAUUAGGCCCGCUUAAAAUAUGGAUCAGGCUUGAGCUCGACCUAACCCGUUUUAAGUUUAUAAUACUUUAUAAUAUGUUAUUUUUAUAUAUUAUGUAAUUUAGAACACAUAAACCUUUACUAAAUAUAUAAUAUUACUCUAAUGUAAAUAUUAAAAUAAUGUUAAGAUGACUAUAUAAAUAUUUUAAAAAAUUAAAAAAUAAUAUGGUAAUGUCUAAAAUAGGCUUGGGUUAGUCUUUUACAAAUAUGGGUAGGUUUGAGCAAAAUUUCAAACUUAGAUUUCGGACUAAACUGGGUUUGGACAAACCUAAAGUAUAAUAAUAUUAUGCUUAGACCCGACUUGACCCAUGAACACUUCUACUCAUAGCCCCUCUCACCCCAUAAAUAGGAGAAUAAUGCGCUUUAACGCACUCAAACCUACAUCUUACUGUAUUGAUAAUAAUACUCAUUUUUCUAAAUUUGUACCAAACUUAUUUAUUCAUAACGCAAAUAGCGCUCUCUUUCCAAAUUUGCUUAACUUUCUCCGUCUUCUUCUCUUUUCUCCCUUCUACAUCGGGAAUUCUUUCAUUUUUCUCAUUCGGUUUUUAUAGAUUUUUCGAUUCUUUUCAAAUGCGUAAAAGCAGAGCCACCCGAUUAGCCCAUUCCUUCAACCCUUUUUCUUUCUUCAAUCUCUAUUUUGAAGAAUUUUUGAAGAAUUUUUCUUUUGAGCCAUGGCGUCGGAAAUACAAAUGAAGAACAUACAACUUCGCCAGAACUAUCAAAAUUUUUGGCAAACCGAUCUCAUGAACACCAUGGAACUCGACCCUCUUUGUAUUUUUCUCUUACCUUCUAUCUACUCUUAUAAUUUUCUUUCGGCAUAAUGAUAAAUUUAAUAGUUAACAUUUAUAAUUUUUUUAAAAAAUUUUUGAGCUAAACUUGACUUUGAAAUUUAAAAAGAAAAAUUCGAUUUUACCUAUUUUUAAAAGGUUAAUACUAAAAUUUAACAAAAAAAGAGAUUUUUCUAUUUUAUAUAUAUUUUAAACUUUUGUUGUUGAUUUAUGGUCAUUCUUUGUGUUUUUAUUUUCCCAGAUUGUUGCUUUGCUUGUUGGGGGUAAGUACUGUUUUCUACUUGUUUGUUUAAUUGCUUCAAUUAGCUAGUGUUCUUAUUAUUGAUGGUUCAAGGUUUGGUAUAGUGGCCCAUGUGCGUCGUACUUGCUUCGAAGACGAGCACUUUACAAUGACAUGAAAAGGUAAACAUUCAUGCAUUUGUUUCCUCUUUCACCACAAAUUAAUGAUGUCUCUCUUGGUUCAAACAUGGUUCUAUAUGUUCUAUCUUUGUAGGUAUAAAUGUUGUGCUGGUUAUAUGCCAUGUAGUGGUAAGUGUAAAGAAAAUAAAUGUCCUGAGUUUUGCCUUUGUACUGAGGUAGGAACUUUGUCUCUAUGCUCUAACUUCAACUCCUACCUUAAUUUAUAAAUUUGUUGGCACCUUUGGUAUGAUAGAUAUUGAUUUAAAAUUUUAUUUUACAAUUAAUUUGAAUUUAUGCAUUAAUUUUAUCGAUUUAACACUUAAAUAUUAAGCCAACGAGGCUUUGGCAUUGUUGGUUAAGGUUAAAUCUUCCCAACCUUAAAUUUGAAGGCUUGAGUUCGAAUCUCAUCAUUUACAAUUGCAAUGUGUGGGAUCUCUCUCUCAUCAUGUGCAUAUGCCUAGAAGAUCUUUGUGAGAGAGUUGUGUUUUAGAAUGAUCAGAAGAAAAUUGUAUAAAUUUAGCUAUACAUUCAUACUAAUAAUAAAAUUUAUGAUAAAUUGAAUAUCUCAUUUUAAAAAAAUAAUAAUUUAUUUUAAUUUUUAACAAAAUAAAAUCAAGUUAAUAUUUUUCAAGUUAAUUUUUAACACUUUUUUUUAUUGAAAAUUUUAUAUUAAAUAAAAAAAUAAAAAUACAUUUAAAAUUUUAAAAAUUAAAAAUAAAAAUUUAAAAUAAAAUGUGUAGCUUAAUAUAUUAAAUGUGUAGCUUUUAACAUUAAAAUUAAGGUUUUUUUAAUAUAUAUUUAAUAUAUAAUCAAAUCCACUCUUAACAUUCCACUUAAGGUAAUUAACAAUAUAUAACCUUUUUUUAAUAUAUAUUUUUUGUUGAAUGUACUUGAGAGGUCCCUUUAAUAUCGGGACUUAAUCGAAUUAAUCUUUCUGCUAUUAAAUAGAUUAAUAUAGUCCCUGUACUAUUAAAAAAAAUCAAAUAAUAUUAAAUUGGAAUAGAGUUAAACAUUUAUUGUUUAAAAAAUAUAAUUUAUUGUUUAACGAAGUUAAUAUUUUUAAAUUUUUAUGAUUUUGUAAAUAAGAUUUUUGUUUGUAAUUGAAUUACGAAUUUGAACUUAUUUGAUUUUUUUUAAUAGUAUAAGGACUAAAUUGAUCUAUUUAGCAAUAGAAGGACUAAUUUGAUCCAAUCUUUAUAAUACAAACCUAUAUUUUUCACACACAUGGGUGUCCAUGUAUCAAGUACAAACUAUUUGCCUAUACAUUCUUCCAUUUCAGUAUAUUCUUCCAUUACAUUAUCAUAGUUUCUUUUUGUUGUUGUUGUUGCAUUACCAGGUAUUUUGUUGCUUUGGAAACUCAGUGGCAUCUACACGAUUUCUAUUACAAGACGAAUUAAAUAUCCAAACAACAAAGUGUGACAAUUGCAUCAUUGUAAUAUUCUCUCUCUUCCUAGUUGUUCAUGGGUCGGGUUAAGUCAAGUAAAAAAUCUAGACUCAUUUUUAGGUUCGGACUUGGCCUGAAAAAUGAGUCUAAAAUUUUUUCCAAGCUUGACCCGAAUAAAAAUACUAAAAUUUUAGCCCGACUAUUAAAAAGUUAUAUUAUUUUUUAUAUAAAAAUAAAUUUAAAAGGUAUAAUGCAUCAAAUACACUAAAAACAUUAAAAUAAAUAUUUCUCAACAAAUGGAAAAAAAUUAAAAAAAACUUAAAUAACACUAAAAUAAGUGCAACCUAGCAAUCAAAUACCUCUAAAAUAGUAACAAAAAUAAUAAUAAAACAAUAGUUAUACAAUAUUCAAACAAUAACAACAAAAUAGUAGCGAAAUGAUAACAAAAUAAUGAAAAAAUAACAAUAAUAUUUUUUUUUUACAAAUUCGGGCUAGAUCCGGGCCAAAAGAUGUUUACUUGAGGCCCAACCAAUUUAAAAAAUGGGCCUUACUUUUUUUUGUCAAAGUCUAUUUUACGGGUCCAUAUUUUAGUCCAAACUCUCUUUUUCGGACGAAUCUUCAGUCGGAUCACUCUACGUAUAUCUAAAUAUAUGAUCUGCACUAUUUUUUUUUACCAUUGAAUUUAACAUAUUGUUGCUUGAUAUAUACAUACAGGCUUUCAUGUUAUGCCUCCAACAAGUUGCCUGCAUAUUUUCUUUUGUUGCAAUGAUUAUUGGAAACGAUGAGAUUCGAGAAGCCGCGCAUAUACUCAACUGUUUGGCCGAUAUAGCUUAUUGCUCGUAAGGAUUUCCUUCCUUUAUCAGUUGAGGAUCCCGGUGUUAAGUUUUGGAAGGGUUUAAUUAAAAAUUUGUAAGGGUUUAAUUAAAAAUUUUUAACUUUUGAGGGUUUAGUAAGAUUUUUCAAAAAUGAUGGGGUUUAAUAAAAAAAAUUUUCAAAAAAAUUUGAGGGAUUUAAUAAGAUUUUUUAAAAAUUUCGAUAGACCUAGUGCCCUAGUUAAAAUUUUCAAAUAUUUUAAAGGGCCUAACAACAGUUUUCCAAAAUUUUGGGGCCCUGUUCCUUGUCCUAUUUAUUUUAUUUUUAUUUUUAUUGUUUUUACACUUACCAAAAUAAAAAAAGGAAGCAAUUUAUUUUGACAUUAAGAAAUUUAUAAUUUAUUUAUUUAUUUUAUCUUAACAUCUCAAUAUGAAAAAUUUUGACUUCACCCAUAAACAAUACCUGUUUUUUCAGCUAAUUUUGCUUAAAAAUGGUAUACUGAAAGUUCUUUUAUUUUUGCCCUUUGCAGGGUCUGUCCAUGCAUGCAGGUACUAAGUGCUUCUAAAUUGUAAUAAAUACAAAUAGGAAUCCCGUAAUAUAUUUAAUCUUCAAUAUUUACAUAUUUUAUUAAUUUAAUUUUAUUCUUUUUUAAGUUUACUCUCGACCUUUUAAAAAAGGUCGAAUUACUUUUUUUUUAAUAAAAUUAUUGAUUAAAACAUUAAUUUUUAACAAUGUUGGUGUGGUAACUCGCAUGGUAAUCCACGUGUGCUUCAUGUUAACAUGACUAUAUACCACACCAACAAAUAAUGUAGACAUGAUAAAAAUAUUAAAAAUAAAAAAAUAAAAAAUUUUAAAAAUAUAUAAAAAAUUCAUAAAAACUUAAAAAAUUAGUAUGAAAUACAUGUGAAUUGCCAUGCUAACUGCCAUGUUUAAAUUUUAAUGUUUUAGUCAAUAUUUUUAUUAAAAAAACAAUUCAACUCUUUUUAAAAGGUAGAUGAUAAAAUUAGACUCUUUUUAUAAGAUUGAUGGCCAAAAUUGUCUCUUUUUAUAAGAUUUUAGGAACUCGAGGGCUGAAUUUAACUAAAAAACAUAAGGGUUAAAUUGAAAAAUGACGUAAACAUUGAAGAAUAAAUUUAUAAUUACACCAAUAAAAAAAAUUAUGGUUAUGUUUGAGGCAACUUAUUGUGUUUCAAAGUAAUAUGAAAAAAAAUCCCACAAAAAUCCAACUUUUUUUAGGGGUUAAAUUGUUUAACUUAAUUUUUUCACGUGACUUUCAAACACUAGAAGUUAAUAUUUCCUAAUGUUAUUGUUGUUUUUCUAUUUAUUUUAAAAUUAAAUUAUCGACUUUAUAAUAUAUCGUAAUUUAAUUGAAAAUAUUUAAUUAUUUUUACUUAUAAUAACUUUUAAAUGUUUUUUUUUUGUGAAUGCAGACACAACAUAAGAUUGAAAUGGACAAAAGAGACCGCAUGUUCGGUCCCCGACCAAUGACAAUACCUCCGGUCCAGUUUAUGUUGCGGACUGAUUAUCAUCAAAAUCCUCCUAUGGAUGGAUACCCACCACCGUACCAACAACCUUAUGCACUUGGCUAUGUAGUUCAAGAUUAUCCGCCAUCUGUUCCCCUACCACCCGAUUAUCAUCAAAAUCCUCCUAUGGAUGAAUAUCCACCACCAUACCAACAACCUUAUGCGCCUCGCUAUGUAGUUCAAGAUUAUCCGUCGUCUGUUACCCCGCCACCCAAUUAUCCGUCGUCUGUCCCUCCACCACCCAAUUAUCGACCAUCGUGUUAGCCAGUCAUUCUUUGAGUUACUUAGGUUGCAAGCCACCUGAGUCUGUAUUAUCAAGUCAUGGAUGGAGAUGGUUGCAUGCAUGUUGUGCCAUAUAUACCUUUGUGAUUUGCUUCUUUUGUCAUUCCUCAUGUACAAACAGGUAAAGGUUUCAAAUGUAUUCUAACAAAUUUGCCCAUUUCUCUAUAAUUUUCAUUUUUAAGUUUAUUUUAGGCGUCUUUAGUGUUUGUGUCAACUUUUGUAAUUUUUAUAUGUAAAUUUUGGUACAUAAAUCAUAAUGUUAUUAUUUUUUGUUAAUUGUACAUAAUUUUAAUUAGUAUAAUAACAAAUUUGACCUUCAAUGUUUAUAUAUUCUACGUAAAUGUUGACAGAAUAUGUGAAUAUUGCGCGCUAAAUUUAUUAAAUCAAGACCACAUUAAUAUAAUGUGUAAACUCUAAGAGCUAAAUUUGUUAUUAUACCAUUAAAAAUAUGUAUAAUUGAUGAAAAUAUUAAUGUUUUUUUAUUAAUUGUCUUUAAUUGCUCAUUUUCGAAAUCGACAGGAAUUAAAUUACUCUAAUUUUUUUGAGAGGGACCAAUUUACUUAAUAUUGAAAUUGAAAGGGACCUGAGGUUUUUUUAAUAAAAAUGUGACUUUCGAAAUUGAAGUUGUGGUUCAUCGAAAACAGAUAAAGUGCGUUUAGUUGAGAGAAAAAGAUUAUCGGAAAUAAUUUUAUAUUCAAGAAUUAUAUUCCUAUGUUUAUAUUAAGAAGAUUAAUUUGAUUUUGGCAACGUGAUAUUACCUAGUGUUUGGUUCAAAGAAUCUAAGAUUAUGUAAUGAGAUUAUGAGAAUGUAACAUUACGGGAUGAAAUGUUCGAUAUAAUAUGUUACUUUAAUUUAUUGGGUGACGAGAUAUAAAAUUAUAGUAAUAAAAUAAAAAGAGGUUGAUAUUAAGUUUUGAAUUGGAUGGGAAAAUAUUAAGAUAAAUAAAUACUUCAAUGAAUUAAUGAUUGAUUGUCCCAAACUCAUCACCUCAACAAGUAAAAGCAUCCUUGAAAGAAAAGAGAAUACCACAUCAAAAGGGACUAAUUGUAUAUAUAGCCUCCGCCAUCUUUACAAGUAGCCGAGCUUGGUAAUGCGAGUUUGUAACCUGAGUGGGGGCUUUAAGGUGAUAGAAUGCGAGUUCGGGGCUUUGUUGAGUUGGAUUUCGGGUGGUUUAACUCUGGCUUGCCCGUUCUGAGUUGAGAGUUGUGCCAAGGGGCUUGAGUAUAAACUCCGAGUCUCGUGGUUCCUAAAAUGAAGGGUACUGCGUGAGGCUGGUUGGUUUCACAGAGCAGUGAAGACCAUUGUCUCUUGACAGUGGAAGGAAAACAUUCUUGAUCUACUCCAAUCUAGAGGUGCUCAUGGGUUGGGCCAGACCGGGCGUAAAAUUUUGCCCAAGCCCGACCCAAAUAAAAAUACUAAAACUCGGGCGCGGCUCGGCCCGCCCGUAUUUAUUUUUGUAUUAUUUUAUAUAAUUUUUAAAUAUAUAUAAUACAUCAAAAAUACUAAAAAAAUCAAAAUAAAUAUUUUCCAACAAAUUAAAAAUAAAUUUUAAAAAAUACGUAGACUUAAAUAGCACUAAGAUAGAUGCAACUUAACAAGCAAAUACCUCUAAAAUAAUAAUAAAAUUAACAAAUGCCUUUAAAAUAAUAACAAAAUUAAUAAUAAAAUAAGUUUUAUACAAUAUCCAAAUAAUAACAACAAAAUAGGAGCAACUAAUAGCAAUAUGGUAGCAAAAUAGGGAGAAAACAACAAGAAAAUAACAUUCAAAAACAAAAAAAAAGCAGAAUUUUUUUGUCAUUUAGUGAAUUUGGGCAGGGCCGGACCCGAGCCAAAAAUACAUUACCCGAGGCCCGACCUAUUUUUUAAACGAGCCUCAUUUUUUGUCCAAGCCCAUUUUUUGGGCCCAAACCCUCCCACAUUUUGGGCGGGCCUUCGGGCCGGGUCAGGUAGGCCAACCCAUGAGCAGGUCUACUCCAAUUCAACAUGGCACAGCGAGCUAACCCUGUAUAGAUAUUGAUGGGUUAAAAUUGCUAUUAUACCAACUUUAAAAGUCGUUAGAUCAUCUUUUUAUCUGCAAUUUAACGAAUGAUGACCAAAAUAAAAAAAUCGAAUAGCUGGGGACUCUUUUAUAACUUUUAGUUGGGUGACUAUACAUAUAGUUUAUCCUUAUUAUAAUAAUAUUUUAAAUAUGCAAUUUAAGUUUCUCUAACAAAAAUGACAUCAUCAAGUUUUAAAGUCUAAUACAAGAGCUCUAUGAAUUUUUAUAUCAAUAUCUUAUAUAUCGUUAUGCCAAGGGCAAUUAGGAAAUGUGUUUUUAAGUAUAAGAAAUGUGUUUUUAAGCAAUUUUAUAUUUCGUUAAUUAAACAACAAAAUCAUACAUUCCAUCCAAAUAGAUCAAAUAUGGCAAUGUAACAUAUCAACUAAUUUGAUAAGACUACUCAGUUGGCAUCGGCAUUGUUGCCAAUGUAAGAGAAUAUGGGUACGUUCAAGUGUGCUGAAGCAUAUUAUCCUUCUAUUUAAGGGUUAAAGAGGGACUAUGGGUAGUUCUAGACAUUAUAUCAAAAAACAAAGACUAAAAUUUUUUUGAUGCUACAUUCAUAUAAAAGGAAAUAAAUAAAUAAAUAAUUUACAUUCCAAUAAUCCUAUUAGUAGAAAUAGUUUUACACUACGUGAAUUAGAUGUAUUUUAAGUAAUUUUACAUUUCAAAAACCUUAUGGACAACAAUAGGGUUACGAACUAUCCUUACUGAGAAGCACAACCAAAACCUGAAAAAAAGCAUAAUUAAAAAAAAAAUAUUGUCAAAGGUGUCACGAUACAUAUUGGUAAAUAAGCCAAUAAAAUAAUAAAAUUAUAUUUUAACUCUUACAAAAAUAUAUAACUCAAUCUCAGCUGUUCCAAAAAAAAAUAAAUUUCGGCUUUACCUUUGAGUAGGGAAGAUCAAAGAAGAGGGGCAGACGACAGCCGACUUGGCAAUCGCCAACUGACUCGCUCUCAGUGAUGGUUGAAGGAGAGGGCUUUGGGUGAGACCAACCUUCUUCUUUAUAAUCUAUGAACUUGGUGUAAUAAAUGAUAUUUGAGGCUUUGUUGAGGUUAAAUGAUGGUAAUAAGUGUUGGGAAGAAACCGAACAACCGAAACAAAGCGAAAGCACAACCGGUGUUCUUUCUCUCCCUAUAACUCCUGUAAAAAAUUAUGGCAAGCACAAUAGCACAAGAUAUGUUCUCUAGCAGCCUUAAUCAACCACAAAUCAACUAAUGCAACCACAACAAAAAUAAAUAGAGACACCGGUAUUUUACGUGGAAAACCCCUCUAAAUUAAGGGUAAAAGCCACGGGACUUUAGAGUCCGAUCAAAAGCUCCAUUGUAACACCCCCUACCCGUAUCCGUCGUUGGAAUAGAGUACGAGGCAUUAUCGAGAAGCAUGAAACACUUACAGAUAAUUUAAAUACAUUUUCAUAACAAUUUGUUUCGAUUUCAUACUAUUUCAUAUUUAAGCUUUAUUCACCAAAGUAUUUGAAAUAUCAUCUUUAUGCAAAUAGCACGCAUGAGGUACAUAAUUCCAUAAUUAUGAAUGAACACAUUUAUCAAACAUAUUCCAUAUUUUUAUAUAUAUGUCAUAGUUUCAUAUUUCUAUGUAUCAAUUACCAUCACUUCCUCGUAUUUCAGACAAAUACGUGUAACAGUUCAUAAAUAUGAAAUUCAUUAACUCUUCCUACCAAUCACGAUUUAAAUUGCCAAAUCACUUAUUAAGCCCAAUUUCAAUGUUCACUAAAAUCUAUCAUAUAAAUUUGGAUGUACGUAUUCAUCAAUAAAUUCCAUUCUCAUAUUUCCACAUACAUUUACUUUCCACAUUUAUGAAUUCAAAUAGCAUAUACAAGACAUACCAAUGUAUUUCAAGUACGUUUUCAUGAUAUUUCAUUUCGAACUCAGAUUAUUUCAUACUAGAAGUUUUCUCAUUAACUCAUUUGGAAUACCAAUUCAUACGGGUAAUACACUCAAGGCGUAGAAAUAUAUAAUCACAAAUGAACUCAUUCAUCAACCAAGUUUUAUGCUCAUGUCUCAUCAACUCGUAUUUCCUUAUGUCACAUAAUUCCAUGUAAUACUUACCAAACUUCUUCAAAUUAGUGAACAUCUUACGGAAUUGAGUACUUUGUUUUCUCGAUGCCAUAGUUCAACUAUGGUCUUACAUAUCUUCAGAUAAUGAUGCCAUAGCCCAACUAUGGUCUUACACAUAUUCAUAUAUCAAUGCCAUAGCCCAGCUAUGGUCUUACACGUAAUCACAUAACACAUAUUGAUGCCAUAGCCCAGCUAUGGUCUUACACGAAUCACAUAUCUCACUGAUGCCAUAUCCCAGAUAUGGUCUUAUACGGAAAUCACUUGUCACUUGUAGCCGAAGCUACCACUAUUCACUGAUCAGGUAGCCAGAGCUACCAUUUUUCACUGAUCAGGUAGCCGGAGCUACCACUUUUCACUGAUCAGGUAGUAGAAGCUACCACUUUUCACUGAUCAGGUAGCCAAAGCUACUACUUUUCACUUGUUAUUUGUCAUUGAUCAGAUAAGUGUAGCCGAAGCUAUCACUUAUCACUUUCACUUGUCCUUGAUCAGGUAAGUGUAGCCGAAGCUAUUACUUAUCACUUUCAUUUGUCCUUGAUCAGAUAAGUGUAGCCGAAGCUAUCACUUAUCACUUGUUGCCAUGGUCCACCCAUGGUCUUUUCCUUCAAUUCAUCUUGUCACUGAAAUGGAAUGCUCAAUUUGAUUAUUUAUUCAAUUUUCAUGCUUUUACAUUAUUCACGAUUUUAUCAUCAAUACAUAUGAAAUAACACAUCAUGAAAUUCAUAAAAUUAACAAAUGAUCACUAAAAUUUAGCCAUAUAAACUCAGAAGUUCGAUUUUUGUAUUAUAACGAUAAUCAUAAUUUCAUAAUAAAUAUUCCAAAUAAGUCAUUAUAUUAUUUCUAAUUCAACACUUAUCGAUUAUAAUCGGAAAUGUGAUCAAUUUAUAUACGAGUCAUUCAUAUAUAUAUGUAUAUUUUUCCCCCUCCUCCUCUCCAUCCACAUCCUUAGUAUAAAUAACACACUUGUGAGUAACCUUAUCCAUAAUUUUCACUAAUUACUUAUGUGAAUAUUAAAGCUAUCCACAUGUGUCAUAGUCACUAAAUUAUUUAUAUCUGAAGCUACGGAACUCCAAAUUGAGGUCCGAUAAUUUUCCAUAAAACUAGACUCACAUAUCUUCUUACCAUAAAAAUUUCAUAAUUUUUGGUUUGGCCAAUUAAUACAGUUUAUUCAUUGAAGUCCCCCCUGUUCUGCUGUCUGACAGUUCCGACCCUUCUUCACUAAAAAUUAUUUAUCUCCUUUUACAGGAUUCGAAUGAUGUUUCCGUUUGUUUCUCUUGAAAAUAUACUCAUUCAGGAUUCUAUACAUAUAAAUUUAAGCCCAUAAUUAUUUUUAUCUAAUUGUUUAUGAUUUUACAAAGUCAGAACAGGGGAACCCGAAAUCAUUCUGACCUUGUCUCACAAAAUUCAUCAUAUCUCAUGAUUUACAAUUCCAUUGCUUACAUAAUUUCUUCUAUAAGAAACUAGACUCAAUAAUCUUUAAUUUCAUAUUUUAUUCAUCCUCUAAUUUCAUUUCUAAAAUUUUUGGUGCUUUUUCAAAGUUAGACUACUGCUGCUGUCCAAAACAGUUUUAGUGUAAAAUGUUGAUUUCCAUUUUGCCCCAAAUUUCACAAUUCAUACAAUUCAGUCCUUGCUCAAUUAACCCCUCAAUUAAGAUAAUUUUCUCAAUUAAUACUUUUCCUAGACAUUAUAAGUUAUUUCAUAACUAUUGAAAUUCAUAAUUUCCACAUAAAAUUCCAACUUCAAACUCUUUUACAAUUAGGUCCCGAACAUUCACUUUCUAUUCAAUUCUUUCAAAACAAUCAGCAUAUAAACAAUUUGAAGCUCUAAUUCCAUGCCAAAUCAUCAUAUAAUUCCAGCACAUAUUCAUAGAAACUUUCAAUUUCUUUCAUAGAAUCAAAAACUAAUGAAUUCAACAAGUGGACCUAGUUGUAAAAGUCAUAAAAACACAAAACUUUCAAGAAAUAAUCAAGAAUUGAACUUACUUGAAAUAAAAAUAUGAAAAACCAGCUUAAGGGAACUCUUCCAUGGCAUUUUUGCUGAUGAGAUUGCAGAAAAAUAAAGAGAAAUCUAGAUAAUUCCACUUUAGUCCUUGCUUUAUUAAGUAAAUUUUAUAAUUUUCCAAUUUUGCCCUUAAUUCUCCUUAUUUUCUUGCUGAUUUCAUGCUCUUGUUGUCCAGCCCAAAUAGACCUUGGGCCUAUUUUCCUUUUAAACCCUCUUUCUUUUAUCAUUUAAGCUAUUUAAUCAUUUCCCACAAUUUUGCAUUUGAUACAAUUUAGUCCUUUUUGUUCAAUUAACUAUCAAAACUUUAAAAUUUCUUGACGAAACUUUAAUACUAACUUAUUAGCACUCCAUAAAUAUUUUUAUAAAUAUUUAUGGCUCGAUUUAAAAUUUUUGAGGUCUCGAUACCUCGUUUUUGAUUCUAAUUAUUUUAGUAUUUAUUUUUAGUACACUAUUCACUAUUUCAAAAUUUUUCCUAACUUCACAUUUAACUUAUACUCACUAAAUUAAUAAUAUUUCCUACUCAUUUGUCAGAUUUAGUGAUCUCGAAUCACUGUUCCGACACCACUGAAAAUUAGGCUGUUAUAUCCACUAUCAUCAAAUGUUCAACUACAAGAUCACAAUAUCAAGCCUACAACAAGCAUUCAACUCCAACAAGGCUAACAAUAUGCAAUCUUUAGCAAAAGAGAGAAAAAUGAGAGAACAUCACCAAAAAACGCAGCUGCUGAAAAAUGUGUAUUUUCGACGCUACAAGACUCGGAUGAAAAAUCUGACCGUACAAAGUCAAGAACACCUUAUCGCCUAGCUGCUGUCCAAAAAUCAGCUCAACCGAACCACGGAUGGACCUUCGAUCGAAGAGUUGAUCACUGCUGCACCAAGCUUGAAAAACUGAUUUUUCUAUUCUCUCUUUUUCUCCAACGAGCUUCAAUCUCACUCUCUUUCUCUCUGGAUGUAAUUGAGAAUUUUGCUCUCAAUUAAGAAUGCUGCCCACUCCCACGUUAAAAGGCCAAAAAAUUGGCUUUUGACAAAACCAAAAAGAAGGCAAAACAUUGUGGCAGAAAAUAUGGGUUUCCCACAUAGUGGGACCCAUACCCAACAAAUCUCCCCCUCCAACUAUGUGGGGAAUGCCUCCAUGCCGGAGGUCAAACAACAUGCUUCAAACUUUCCUCUUGGUAAGGCCUUCGUCAACAUAUCAGCACCAUUAUCAUUAGUGUGUAUCUUCUCAAGCUCUAAUAGCUUAGCUUCAAGAACAUCUCGUAUCCAAUGGUACCUCACAUCAAUAUGCUUAGAUCUAGCAUGAAAAGUUGAGUUCUUACCAAGAUGAAUAGCACUCUGGCUAUCACAAUACAAGACAUACUUCUCCUGAGUAAAACCAAGCUCAUGCACAAACUUCUUUAUCCAAAGCAUCUCCUUACACGCUUCGGUUGCUGCAAUGAACUCUGAUUCGGUGGUGGACAAUGCAACACACUUUUUCAGUCUUGAUUGCCAUGCCACAGCUCCUCCUGCAUAAGUGAUUAAGUAAUCUGAAGUAGAUCUCCUCGAGUCAAUGUCUCCGGCCAUGUCUGAAUCUGUAUAUCCAACAAGAACAGGUUUCUCAUUGUCGAAACAAAGUUUCAUGUUGGAAGUGCCACGAAGAAAUCUCAUAAUCCACUUCACUGCAUUCUAAUGCUCUCUGCCUGGAUUAGAAAGAAACCGACUAACUGUACCAACGGCAUAAGCCAAGUCUGGUCUCGUGCAAACCAUUGCGUACAUCAAACUACCCACGGUUGAAGAGUAAGGAAUUUUCUGCAUAUCUUCCUUCUCCUUUUCUGUGGAAGGACUAUGCUUAACACUUAAUCUAAAGUGCAUAGCAAAUGGAGUAUUCACCGCUUUAGCUUUGUCCAUACUAAACCUUUGAAGUACUUUCUCAAUGUACCUCUCUUGUGAUAACCAUAAUUUAUUGGCCUUUCUAUCACGUGUCAAUCUUAUGCCAAGAAUUUGCUUUGCUGGCCCCAAAUCCUUCAUUGCAAAGGAUUUACUCAACUCUUGUUUCAACUUCUCAAUUCUAGAAGCAUUUUGACCAACAAUAAGCAUAUCAUCAACAUAGAGCAAAAGAAUAAUAAAAUCAUCACCAGAGAAUCUCUUAACAAAUACACAAUGAUCAGAAGUAGUUUUCUUGUAGCCUUGCUCCCUCAUAACAGACUCAAACUUCUUGUACCAUUGUCUUGGAGCUUGCUUCAAACCAUACAAGCUCUUCUUCAAUCUGCACACAUAGUCCUCUUUCCCUUGUGCAACAAAACCCUCUGGCUGCUCCAUGUAAAGCUCUUCUUCCAAGUCACCAUGAAGAAAAGCAGUUUUCACAUCCAUUUGUUUAACCUCUAAGUCAGAACAAGCUGCCAAACUCAGGAUAGUUCUUAUAGAGGACAUCUUCACAACCGGAGAAAAUAUUUCUUCAAAAUCAACCCCCUUUUUCUGAGUAUAACCCUUGCCGACCAAUCUAGCUUUGUAUCGUGGAGAUGAAGACUUCUCUUCUUGCUUCAACCUGUAAACCCACCGAAUCUUCAAAUCUCUUUUGCCCUUAGGCAGUUUCACCAAUUCAAAGGUAUGGUUCUCAUGCAAGGAUUGAAGUUUGUCUUUCAUCGCUUCAACCCACUGAUCUUUGCAUUCACUCUCCAUAGCCUCUUCAUAACAUUCAGGUUCUCCCCCGUCAGUCAAAAAAACAUAUUCAUCAGGAGAAUACCUGACAGAAGAUCGUCGAUCUCUGAAAGACUUUCGAAGUGGAACUGCUGGUGGAGCUAUAGGUGCUUGUUGUUGAUCAUUCACAACAUCAGCAAUGGGAGUAUCAAAGUCACCUAUAGUCUGAUGGUCACCACUAACAUCACCAUGCACAUCAUCCUGGAUAGGAUCUGGUGAAGAGUCUAGGGGAACCGGAUUCACAUCGAUCAAGUCACCACUACCUUGUGAAUCUAUUUUCUCCGUCUUAUCAAUGUCAUCAAUGGUCUGAUCCUCAAUGAAGACAACAUCUCUGCUUCUCACGAGUUUCUUCUGAACUGGAUCAUAGAGUCUAUAACCAAACUCACCAUCUAGACCAUAACCAAUAAAAAUGCAUUGUCGAGCCUUGGCAUCCAACUUGGAUCUUUCAUCCUUUGGAACAUGAACAAAUACUUUACAACCAAACACGCGUAGGUGAUCAUAUGACACGUUUUUACCAAACCAAACUCUAUCUAGCACAUCACCUUUCAAAGGAACACUAGGAGACAGAUUUAUCACAUGUGUCACUGUAUUCAAAGCUUCAGCCCAAAAUGAUCUUGGCAACUUUGUAUCUGACAACAAACAUCUGACUCUCUCAAUCAAUGUUUGGUUCAUUCUUUCAGCUAACCCAUUUAACUGUGGAGUCUUUGGUGGUGUUCUCUGAUGUCUGAUUCCCUGUCACAGACAAUACUCAUGAAACGACCCUGUGUACUCGCCACCAUUAUCAGUACGAAUGCACUUCAACUUCUUCCCAGUUUCCCUUUCAACUGAUGCUUGAAACUGUUUAAACACCACAAAGACUUGAUUUUUAAACUUCAAAGUGUAAACCCAUAACUUUUUUGAACAAUCAUCAAUGAAAGUCACAAAGUAAAGUGCACCACCAUGUGAUCUUACUUUUAUCGGACCACAAACAUCUGAAUGGACCAACUCUAGCAACUCUGAUUUCCUAUGAGGAGGAUGGCUUCUAAAUGAAACUCUUUUCUGUUUUCCUGCUAGACAAUGAGCACAAUUCUUCAGUGUAGCAUUCUUUAAACCCAAAAGUUGAUUCUUCUUCGCUAAACAAUUAAGCCCAUUCUCACUCAUGUGACUGAGUCGUUUAUGCCACAACUCAGUUGAGCUGUCAUUCACUAUCACAUUCACCGUCUCUCGAGAAGUCAAAGCUUGCAUCAAGUACAAAUUUGAGCUCUUCUUUCCUCGAGCCACAACCAAGGAGCCUUUAGUCAGCUUCCACUGGCCUUCACUGAAGGUGUUACAGAAUCCCUCAUCAUCAAGCUUUCCUGCAGAAAUAAAAUUCAAACGGAUAUCUGGUGCAUGUCUGACAUCUUUGAGAGUUAACUUUGUUCCAUUGUUACUCACCAAGCUAACAUCUUCCAUACCAAUAACCGAAACCAAACCGUCAUUACCCAUCUUCAAUACCCCCAAAUCACCAGGAGUAUAAGAUGUGAAGAAUUCAUUCCUCGACGUGACAUGAAGUGAUGCACCAGUAUCAAUCACCCAACUGGUCUCGUCGCAUGCUAGGUUGACCAAAUUCUCAUCACAAAUAACUAAUAGAUCUUCACGAGCAACAGUAGCAACACGCUCGGAUUUUUUAUCGUCAUUCAGAUCGUGUUUAUCACCACCACCUUUGUUCUCUUUCUUCCACUUGAAGCAAUAUUUCUUGAUAUGACCUUUCUUACCACAAUGAUGACACUCAAGAUUCUUGUAUCUCGAUCUUGACUUGCUUCGGCUUUUAUCUCUACCCUUUCCAUCUUUGUCUCUGUUUCUCCCUCUGUUCUCGAUAACCAACACCUCGGACUGUGAUGUAAAACCCUGAGAUCUUCUUCUAACCUCUUCAUUCAACACACCACUCUUAGCCAAAUCCAAAGUAAUAAUACCCUGUGGGGCAGAAUUAAUGAGUGAGACCCGAAAGGUCUCCCAAGAGUCUGGUAGAGUAGCAAGCAACCAAAGUCCUAAAAUCUCGUCAUCAAAUUUGACUCCCAUACCAAGCAACUGAUUCAUCACACUCUGAAAUUCACUAACAUGGUCAGCUAUAGACAUUCCUUCUUUAUAUUUCAGCGCCAUCAUUUUCUUCAGCAAAAACAACUUAUUAUUGCUCGACUUUGAAACAUACAAGCUUUCAAGCUUCUCCCACAAUGUUCGAGCAUGUGUCUCCUGAUCAAUGUGGUUGUAAACAUUUUCUUCAAAAAAUUGCCGAAUAAAGCCACACACUUGUUGAUGCUCAAAUUCCCAUUCUUCAUCACUUUUCGAAUCGGGUUUUUGAGUAGUAAAGACCGGAAGAUGCAAAGCCUUCACAAACAAUAAGUCCUUCAUUUUAUUCCGCCAAAGUUGAUAAUUUGUGCCAUUUAACAUAAUCAUCUUGCUCGUAUUAAUUUCCAUAAUUAUCUGACACAAUAACCAAGCUCUGGUACCAGUUUGUUGGGAAAAAACCGAACAACCGAAACAAAGCGAAAGCACAACCGGUGUUCUUUCUCUCCCUAUAACUUUUGUCAAAAAUUAUGGCAAGCACAAUAGCACAAGAUAUGUUCUCUAGCAGCCUUAAUCAACCACAAAUCAACUAAUGCAACCACAACAAAAAUAAAUAGAGACACCGGUAUUUUACGUGGAAAACCCCUCUAAAUUAAGGGUAAAAACCACGGGACUUUAGAGUCCUAUCAAGAGCUCCACUAUCAUCAAAUGUUCAACUACAAGGUCACAAUAUCAAGCCUACAACAAGCAUUCAACUCUAACAAGGCUAACAAUAUGUAAUCUUUAGCAAAAGAGAGAAAAAUGAGAGAACAUCACCAAAAAACGCAGCUGCUGAAAAAUGGGUAUUUCCGACGCUAAAAGACUCGGAUGAAAAAUCUGACCGUACAAAGUCAAGAACACCUUAUCGCCUAGCUGCUGUCCAAAAAUCAGCUCAAUCGAACCACGGAUGGACCUUCAAUCGAAGAGUUGAUCACUGCUGCACCAAGCUUGAAAAACUGAUUUUUCUAUUCUCUCUUUUUCUCCAACGAGCUUCAAUUUCACUCUCUUUCUCUCUGGAUGUAAUUGAGAAUUUUGCUCUCAAUUAAGAAUGCUGCCCACUCCCACGUUAAAAAGCCAAAAAAUUGGCUUUUGACAAAACCAAAAAGAAGGCAAAACAUUGUGGCAGAAAAUAUGGGUUUCCCACAUAGUGGGACCCAUACCCAACAAUAAGUUCAACCCAUGAAAAAAAUGACCAUGAACUUAUAUAAUUAUAAUUCCCAAUAAAAAGAACCCCUCAAAAUGCUCAUUCUCUCUAUAGAAUGCUUUAGGUUGUUGUCUUUUGCUUUUUGCUUUUGUUUGAGUCCCUCUUGAUGGCUCACUGUUUCCAAUUACAAUCUGUGUAAACACUCAUUUCUUUUGUUUCUCGAGUUUUUUUAGGUAUCUGAUUAGUGUCAGUGUUAUUUUCUCGUCUGUUGUCAUUUUCCCAUUUAUGAUUGUAUUCCAUAGCUAUUGAUGAUGAAGGCAGUUUUACAAGUUAUGUAAAACAUAUGGUUUAAUUUUGUUCAAAUAUUCAUUUUAAGUUUUCCAUGAAGUUCCCAAACUCAUCACCUCAACAAGUAAAAGCACCCUCGGAAGAAAGAGAAUACCACAUCGACCAAAAUCAAAAGGGAGUAAACGUAUCUAUAGCCACUUGCCCGCCUUGUGGCUUGCCGGGCUUGGUAACGCAAGCUUGUUACCUGAGUGGGGGCUAUAAGGUGGUGGAACGCUGGUUUGGCUACUUCGGGUCCGAAUCUUGGGUGGUUGAUUUCUAGAUUGACCUAUCGUGCUGGUUGAGCCAGGGACUAGAAAUACUACUUCGGGUCAGGAUCUUGGGUGGUUGAUCUCUGGAUUGACCUAUCGUGCUGGUUGAGCCAGAGGUACUGUUCACCACCAUCUUUUUAAACCGGUUCAAAACUCAACCCACGUAUCUUUUCAAUUUUAUGUAUUACUUUCUCCAUUUCCCAAUAUGUUUUUGUUUGUCUCCUUAUAACCAUAUCCCACUCAUCUAUGUAUUUAUCUCAUCUUUCUCCAUUUCCCAAUAUGUCUUGGCAGAAACUUAAGCUUCCUUCAUUUUCCUGUUCUUCCAUUUUGUUGACAGUGGAACAUUUGGCUGUUUAGUCCUUGGCUCUCCUCCAAGCUAUCUUCUAUACCAGUAGCAGAUGAAUCAAUCUCCCAACCAAUACGCUUUCUCUUUUAUUUAAAAAGGGAUAAAAGGAGCUUUUCCUUUUUCCAUCUUCUUCCGAAUGGGUCUCCAGGUUCAUGGACUAUUUGUGUAGUUAAAAUGAUAAUUAAAUCAUCUUUAGUGAAAGUAUAAAAGAAAACUAAAAAAGAGUUAAAAACCCAAAUAUGGUAGUUUCCUUUUUACAAUUAAAAUUACAAUCCAUGAAUAAGAGAGUUUGUGGAUUGAAUGACAAUGUUAGAUUUGUAAGUCAUGGCAAAGGAACAACAGACAAAUGAGAAGGUAAGCAUACCACUGUUUUAAACAUGUUGCCGAUGUAUUGAAAUCAGCAUUAGCACAAGAUCAAAUUAGAAUUUGAAAAAAAAAAAAUUGCCAUUGACAUGAAAAAUACCAGCAAAUAGAGUAUCAAUAUCUGCUGAUUAUCCCUUUUCUUUUAUGUGAAAAAAAUACGAGAAUGUUUAACUGGGGAUGAAUUUCUUCACAAAUUAUCCAAAUCUUCAUUUAAGUUCCCAAACUGAUCACCUCAACAAGUAAAAGUACCCUCGGAAGACAGAGAAUACCACAUCGACCAAAACCGAAAGGAACUAAUUGCAUAUAUAGCCCGUCCCCUCUUUGCUUAUUGCUGAGCUUGGUAGCGCGAGCUUGUAACCUGAGUGGGGGCUUUAAGGUGACGGAAUAUGAGUUUGGCUUUGCUGAGUCGGAUCUCGGGUGGUUUGACUCUGUCUUGUCCGUUCCAUGUUUAGAGUGAGCCAAGGGGCUUGAGUGUAAACUCUUGAGUCUCGUGGUUCCUGAAGUGGAGGGUACUGCGUGAGGCUGGUUUCACAGAGCAGCGAAGACCUCUCUCUCUUUACAGUGGAAGGAUUACAAGCUUGAUCCACUCCGAUCCAACAUUGCUUAGCGAGCUAACCCUGACUGGACCAUCAUCCUUUUUAGUUUUUUGCAAUCACUUCCCUUCGAACUGGUUCUGCAAUAUUUAGUGUUUUUUCACCCUUCAAAAUAACAAAAAAUAGAGAAAAUCCGACUUAAGUUCAUGAAGCAGAAGCUUGGUUACCACACCAACCAACAAGUAUAUAUAAAAUGAUAAGCCAGUCUUUAUAAAUCCACUCAUCCACAAAGUCAUUUUCCCAGCUAAGGUGAUGGCAAAGAGGUUCGACUAUGUGUUUUUUUUUUUAACGACAGUAGUUAAUAAUAUUAUAUCAUUGGAUGACUGCAUAUGUGAGACCUUACAAUUGUUAUAUAGUUGGUUGAUGUGUCUUUUUUACUCAGUGGUCUCUUCUUGUGUGCCCAUAUAACAUGCAAAAGUUUCUUCUUUGUUUAUUCCACUUUUGUGGUAGCAGCAUAGUAAUAUAGUGUUGUGUAUGUUUUUAUUCUAUGGUUUUGGUUUCUUUGUAGUUUACCCUUUUUAGUUGGCAUUGUAAGUUUAUUUCCAUUCAUUGCAGAUCUAGAAGCGUGUUGAUGCUUGAAGAUAAGAAUUGGUAUAAUUUUGCAGGUAACUUCAAUCCACAGCGUUGUAAUUCUUCAUGCAAUUCCAUACUUUUGGGAUCAUUUUGUUUACUAAAAGUUAGUAUUGGGUGAACUAAAAAUAUAUAUAAUCAUGAAGUACGUCGAUUGAUUUCUCCAUAACGAUAGUGAAAAAGUGUCGGUUCCUUCACACUUUCACUUAAUUUCAAGUUUAGCUUGUCCUUUAUAUCUAACUCUACUCUUACCCGUACUCUUAAUCUUAUAUCAAUUAGAGUGAACUGAAGACAACAUUUUCGUUUCUCAUGACCUCGUCAUGAUUUCCAACGCUGAACUCUUAUUGAACUCUCCUAUUCAACAUGUCAUGCUCUACUAUGGUAAGGUGAACCUCCUCCGUAAGUUCGGGAACCUCAUGCUCGACCUUACUUUCUAGAUAGUAAUAUGGAAAAUACAAAUCAUAUUUCGGAUAAUUAUCCGACCACCCUUGAACCCAUCUUAGUUGCAUAACCAUAUGAAUCAUAAGGAUGCUCAUACGAAUACUCAUGCCUUCCAAAAUUGCCAUAAUAACUCUAAUGGCUCGUCGAAUUUUCGUUCGUUGAACUCGACCUUUCGUCAUAUCCAUAUUAAUCUCCCAAUCAUCUAUAACCAUUAUUAUUAAACAUGAUUAAACAUCUAUAUCCAUAUUAAUCUCCCAAUCAUCUAUAACCAUCUAUAACCAAUCGUCGAGUUUUUUUUUUGCAGUUACUUGCUGGUUUAUUUGAAAGUGUUGAGCAUUGGCCUGCAAUGCAACAUGCUACCAACAACUACUUCAAGCAGACCAGCAUUGGAGCAGAACCGAGUGUAGCAGCAUGAUUUAUUCAUUUUGAUUAUUUUGUUCCUAUGUAACUUAGUUUAGUUUGUAACUUGUUGUUAAAAUUAGUAGGAUUUGUCUUUGUUUGAAGUUGAAUUUGUCUUUGAUUUGAAGUUGAUGUAGUAGCUGAUAUGUCAGCUUGCUUGUAUUUGUAAUUCAAAUUUGUAUUAGUAAAUUAGUGGGAGCAGUUAUAUUAGUAGGUAACUGUCCAAUUUGUUAUGUAACUUAUAUAUCUUUUGAAUUAUUAAUGAAAUGCAUGAUUUUCCUCAAUUCUUGUUGUUCAAAACUUUUUCUCAUUCAUUUGCUUUGUUUUUACUUUGCUUUUGCAAAAUCAAUUCUGUUUUGCUACUUUAAUUGCUGCCAUUGUUCCAACAAAUGGUAUUCAGAGCCUAAAUCUUUGAAGGCCUCUGUUUUGUUGGUUGAUUUGAUAAGAGAACACAAGCUUGAGAACAGGAGAUCGAAGCUGUUGAGGUUGUUUCAGCAAGAUGAGUUUCACAUCACCUCCACCCCUAGUGUUUGCUGGUGAGAACUACCACAUUUGGGUAGUCAAAAUGAAAACAUACCUUCAAGCUCAAGAUUUGUGGAGUGUAGUUGAGAAUGACAUCGAACCACCUCCAUUGAGAGCCAAUCCCACUAUUGCUCAAAUGAGGCAGCAUGCUAAGGAGAGCACCAAGAAGCAUAAAGCCUUAGCCUGCUUGCAGAAUGGAGUGUCAGAUGUAAUCUUCACUCAGAUCAUGGCCUGCAGCACACCUAAGGAAGUAUGGGAGAGGCUGAAGGAGGAGUUCAUGGGGUCAGAUAAAACUAGGCAGCAACAAGUGAUCAACUUGAGAAGAGACUUUGAAAACCUGAAGAUGAAAGAGUCUGAGAGCAUUAAGCAAUACUCAGACAGGAUCAUAGCCACUGUCAACAGCAUAAGGCUGCUUGGUGAAGAUUUCAGUGAUAGCAGAGUGGUUGAGAAGGUUAUCACCACACUUCCUGAGAGAUUUGAAUCCAAAAUCUCAUCACUUGAGGAUUCAAGGGACUUGACAACCAUCUCUUUGUCUGAGUUGGUGAACUCCCUUUAUGGUUUGGAGCAGAGAAGGGCCAAUAGGCAGGAAGACCAUCCUGAAGGAGCCUUCCAAGCAAAGGCCAAAGAGAGCUCCAGCACAAGUCAAAAGGCAAAGAAGCCUUGGCUUGACAAGAGGGAUAAACCAAUGAGAGAUUCAGGCAAGAGAAAGUUUCCACCAUGUGUCCAUUGUAAGAAGACCACUCACUCUGAAAGGUUUUGCUGGUUUAGGCCAGACAUCCAAUGCAGGAGCUGCAAACAGUUUGACCAUGUUGAGAAAGUUUGUAAAAACAAACCAAAGGCACAGCACAACAGCAGAUUCAAGCUCAAGUUACUGAAGAUCUUCAAGCUCAGGAGGAGCAUGUGUUCACAGCUUCUUACUUUGCAUCUUCAAGCAAAGUCAGAAGCAAUUGGUUGGUGGAUAGUGGCUGCUCACACCAUAUGGCAAGUGAUGAGAGUCUGUUCAAGGAUCUUGACAGAAGCUAUGGCUCAAAAAUCAGAAUUGGUAAUGGUGAGCUGAUUGAAGCCAAAGGCAAAGGCAGUGUUUUUGUCAGCACUUGUUCAGGUAACAAAGUUAUUUCAGAUGUGCUCUUUGUGCCUGACAUUGAAAAAGGGUACUCCCUAGUUUUCAAAAAUGAUUCAUGUGUUAUAAAAGACUGCCAUGGUCAAAAAUUGAUUACAGUAGGCAUGGUAGAUAAAUGUUUCAUGCUUGAUGUUAAUAAGCUUGAAAACAAAGCUUAUGUAAACUUGACUGAUAAUGCUGGCUUAUGGCAUAGAAGAUUAGGCCAUGUUAACUUCAGAUCACUUGACCUGUUACAAAAAUAGAAUUUGGUGGAGGAUAUGUCUAAAGUGGAAGCAAGUGACAGUGUUUGUGAUGUUUGUCAGUUUGGUAAGCAAGCCAGAUUGCCAUUUCCAGUGAACCAAGCCUGAAGAGCUCAAGAAAGGCUUGAACUGGUGCACUCUGAUAUUUGUGGACCAAUGAAGUCCCCUUCUUUAAAUGACAGCAAAUAUUUUGUGUUGUUCAUUGAUGAUCUGACCAGAUUUUGUUGGGUUCAUUUCAUGAAACAAAAGUCUGAAGUGUUUGAAGCCUUUAGCAAAUUUAAAGCACUAGUGGAGAACCAGACAGGUUGCAAGAUUAAGGUCUUGAGAACUGACAAUGGAGCUGAAUACUUGUCUGAGAGGUUUCAAAAGCUCUGUGAGCAAGCAGGGAUCCAUCAUCAGCUUACCACUGUUUAUACUCCACAACAAAAUGGAGUUUGUGAAAGGAAAAACAGGACAGUGAUGAAUAUGGUCAGAUGUCUGUUGUUUCAAAGCAAACUUGCAAGCAAAUUUUGGGCAGAAGCAGUCAACACCUCAGUUUACCUGUUGAAUAAGCUUUCAACAAGAGCAGUAAAAGACAAAACACCCUUUGAGGCAUGGUAUAGGUUCAAACCAUCAGUUUCCCAUCUAAAAGUGUUUGGAUGUGUGUGCUAUGUGCUUAUUCCAGCAGAAAGAAGAACCAAACUUGAAAGAAGGUCUGCCCCUGGCAUAUUUGUUGGUUACAGUAGUACCAAAAAAGGCUAUAGGGUGUAUGACCCCUCAACUAAGAAGAUUGUAGUGACCAGGGACAUCAAAUUUGAUGAAGAGAAGUUUUAGAGCUGGGAAGAUGCAGAUGCAAGUCAAUUUGAUGAAGACCACCUUAAUAUCAGCCUAGAACCAGUUGGAAAUAAACCAGAAAGUGCAAACAUUGAUGAUCCUCCUGUGAGAGGAACCAGAACCAUUGCUGACAUCUACCAUAGAUGCAAUACAGCAAUAGUUGAGCCUUCAAGCUAUGAAGAAGCUGCAAGGGACAGAAGAUGGAAGAAAACAAUGGAAGUUGAGCUUGAGAUGAUCAGGAAGAAUGAAACAUGGGACUUGGUUGAUAGGCCAGAUCAGAAGAAAGUCAUAGGUGUCAAGUGGGUUUUUAGAGCCAAAUUUAACUCUGAUGGUUCUUUAAACAAACAUAAAGCAAGAUUGGUGGUAAAUGGCUAUAGUCAAGAGUAUGUCACUGACUUCAUGGAGACAUUUGCUCCAGUAGCUAGGCUUGACACAAUCAAGCUUCUUUUUACCUUGGCUGCACAGAAACAGUGGAAGAUUCAUCAAUUGGAUGUCAAGUCUGCCUUUUUGAAUAGUUUUCUAAAAGAGGAAAUUUACAUAGAGCAACUAUAAGGGUUUAAAGCUCCAAGAGAAGAGAACAAGGUCUAUAGGCUGAAGAAGGCCUUAUAUGGCCUGAAACAGGCACCUAGAGCCUGGUAUGACAGAAUUGAUGAGUAUCUGUCAAGGCUUGGGUUUGAGAAAAGCCUAAGUGAGCCAACACUUUAUGUAAAGAAAAGCUGAGGAUGAAACUUUGUUGAUUAUUUCAGUUUAUGUAGAUGAUCUACUAGUGACUGGAAGCAGAACUGAUCUGAUCAAUAACUUCAAGACUCAAAUGAAGGAGAUGUUUGAUAUGACUGACUUAGGAGUCAUAACAUACUUCCUUGGCAUGGAAGUGAACCAGUUUGAUCGAGGAAUCUUCAUUAGCCAGUAUGCUUUUGCCCUGAAGAUCCUAGACAAGUUUUGCAUGUCAAAUUGCAAAUCAGUGAGCACACCAAUGGCUCAAGGAGAGAAACUGACCAGCUUUGGAAACCAAGAGAGAGUUGAUGAGAAGGAGUACAGAAGCUUGGUUGGUUGUUUGCUCUAUUUGACAGCAACUAGACCUGACCUUAUGCAUGCUGUUAGCUUGUUGUCUAGAUUCAUGCACUGUUGUGACACAUCUCAUUUCAAAGCAGCAAAAAGGGUACUUAGAUACAUCAAGGGAACCUUGAAGCUUGGUGUCAUGUUCAAGAAAGAAAAUGAGCUUAAACUUGUGGGAUAUUCAGACAGUGACUGGACAGGUUCUGUAGAUGACAUGAAAAACACCUCAGGUUACUUCUUCACACUUGGCUCUGGAGUAUUUUGCUGGAGUUCAGAAAAACUACAAACUGUUGCUCAAUCCACAGUUGAAGCAGAAUACAUUUCAGCAGCAGCAGCUGUAAAUCAAGCCAUUUGGCUUAGAAAGUUGCUAUAUGAUCUAAAUGAAAAGCAACUUGAGGCUACUGAAAUCAUGGUUGACAAUCAAUCAGCAGUGACUAUUGCUAAGAAUCCAGUUUUUCAUGGAAAAACCAAGCAUUUUAAGAUUAGGUUUCAUUUUGUUUGAGAGGCUGAGCAAUCAGGUGAAAUCAGUCUUGUUCAUUGUAGCUCACAAGACCAAUUGGCUGAUAUUUUGACUAAGCCUCUUGGCACAUCAAGGUUCGAGUACUUAAGGAGUAAAAUUGGUUUAUGUUGCAUACAGACCAAGGAGGAGUGUUGAGCAUUGGCCUGCAAUGCAACAUGCUACCAGCAGCUACUUCAAGCAGACCAGCAUUGGAGCAGAACCGAGUGUAGCAGCAUGAUUUGUUCAUUUUGAUUAUUUUGUUCCUAUGUAACUUAGUUUAGUUACUUUGUAACUUGUUGUUAAAGUUAGUAGGAUUUGUCUUUGAUUUGAAGUUGAUGUAGUAGCUGAUAUGUCAGCUUGCUUGUAUUUGUAAUUCAAAUUUGUAUUAGUAAAUUAGUGGGAGCAGUUAUAUUAGUAGGUAACUGUCCAAUUUGUUAUGUAACUUAUAUAUCUUUUGAAUUAUUAAUGAAAUGCAUGAUUUUUCCUCAAUUCUUGUUGUUCAAAACUUUUUCUCAUUCAUUUGCUUUGUUUUUACUUUGCUUUUGCAAAAUCAAUUCUGUUUUGCUACUUUAAUUGCUGCCAUUGUUCCAACAGAAAGUACAGGAAUGCAGUACUAUUUCAAGGAAAAUAUGGUAGCAUUGAAAUGAUAGUAAGACAAGCUGAAGCACUCGUCAUUCACACAAGCAAUGCAGCAGCAGCAGAGUUGAAAGAAGAUUCAUCCAGAACUAUUGCCAUCAAAUGGAAGGCACCUUGCCACGGUUGGGUAAAAAUUAAUUCUGAUGAAGCUACUGCAUAGAGUGGAAACUAGUCAGCUGCAGGUGGCAUUUUACGUGACUCACAUGGUAAUUGGUUAGCAGGAUUUUGUCGAUUCAUUGGGAGAGGUUCUGCUCUAACGAUUGAGUUAUGGGCGAUCCUUCAUGGUCUUAAAAUAGCUUGGCAGAAGGGAUACACCAAGGUGAUAAGUGUAUCUGACAAUAAAAGUGCAGUGGAUAUGCUAACAGAUGCUUCACUAGGAUCAUCAACAACAACUUAAGUUCGAAGAAUAAAGGAGGAAGCAGGCGCAAUUAGAUUAUCAAAAUUCAACAUGUCUCCCGUGCAAUGAAUAAAGUGACUGAUUGCAUAGCUAAAUCUUGUUUUAAGAAUAAAUAUGAUCUGGAAAUUAUUUAUUUCUCCAUGUUUGAUGUUAGGUAACUUCUUUUAGAGGAUAAAAUGGAAGACUUCCAUGAAAGAAACAUUGGAUCUUAAGGCUGUUGUGUAAGCCUUCCUUAUGAAAAAAAAAAUCUCUAUCAUUACUUUAAUGGCACACUACUUAAUAGACACCAAAUAAUGUUACAAUAAAAUAGAAAGAUUUACUAAAAUCAUAAUUAGACCUAAUCAUUUUUUAUGGUUCAUAGGACGUAAUUCCUGCAAAGAAAUUAAGAAAUUCAGACUUGUUUAGAUCAUAUGUAAUGAAUGGUUGAGUCGAUUAACUGAGUGGGAUUCUAAGUCCUCGCCUGACGUAGAAGGGAGUUUUAUGUUCUGCGGAUGAGUGGAUAUCCAAUACCAGUAUCGACAAGAAAACAUUGGAGACGCAAAAUAAACACAGGAAAGGGAGAAAAAAAUGAUGGUCCAGUUGGGGUCAGCUCAUUGAGCCAUGGUAGUUCCUAAUGGGUCAAGCCUGUUAUCCUUCCACUGCCAGGAGCGGGAGGUGUUCGCUGCUCUGUGAAACCAGCCUCACGCUUUUUCCCCCUCUCUAAGAACCACGAAACACAAGCCUACGCUCGUGCCCCUUGAUCCAACUCUUGGCUUGGAACGGGCAAGCCUAAGUCAAACCAUUGAAGAACCGACUCAAUAAGUCGAACCCGUGUUCCAUCACCUUUCAGCCCCCACUUGGGUCACAAGCUUGCGCUACCAGGCUCGGCGAUCAAUGCUAUGGCCAAUUUGUUAUAUAAAUAAUUAAUAUUUUUUGUCUUAAGACGAUGUGGGAUUCUCUUUCUUCUGAGGGUGCUCUUACUUGUUAAGGUGAUGAGUGUGGAACUUCAUGGAAGCUUAAGAAGGGGACAGUCAAGCCAUAUACAAUGAUUCUUUAUUUGC
rnacentral:lncRNA from 1 species